GGCUCAGGAUGAACGCUGGCGGCGUGCAUAACACAUUCAAGUCGAACGGUGAAGUGCCUUCGGGCAUGGAACAGUGGCGGACGGGUGAGUAACGCGUGAGCAACCUGCCAUACAGUGGGGGAUAACACAGGGAAACUUGUGCUAAUACCGCAUGACACAUCGUGAUCGCAUGGUCGUGAUGUCAAAGAGCAAUUGCUGUAUGAUGGGCUCGCGUAUGAUUAGACAGUUGGCAGGGUAACGGCCUACCAAAUCAACGAUCAUUAGCCGAACUGAGAGGUUGAACGGCCACAUUGGAACUGAGAAACGGUCCAGACUCCUACGGGAGGCAGCAGUGGGGAAUAUUGGGCAAUGGGCGAAAGCCUGACCCAAGCGACGCCGCGUGAGGGAAGAAGGUCUUCGGAUUGUAAACCUCUUUCAGCAGGGAAGAAGUAAGUGACGGUACCUGCAGAAGAAGUCACGGCUAACUACGUGCCAGCAGCUGC
rnacentral:rRNA from 1 species